rnacentral:rRNA from 1 species
GACAGAGGUGCCAAGCGUUAGGCGGAAUCACUGGGCUUAAAGCGUGUGUAGGCGGAUCUGUAAGUACCUUGUGAAAUCCCACGGCUUAACCGUGGAACUGCUUGGUAUACUGCGGAUCUUGAGCCACCUAGGGGCGAGCGGAACAAGUGGUGGAGCGGUGAAAUGCGUAGAUAUCACUUGGAACGCCAAUGGUGAAAACAGCUCGCUGGGGGUGUGGCUGACGCUGAGACACGAAGCCAGGGGAGCAAACGGG